AGUGAACGCUGGCGGUAGGCCUAACACAUGCAAGUCGAACGGCAGCACAGUAAGAGCUUGCUCUUACGGGUGGCGCGUGGCGGACGGGUGAGGAAUACAUCGGAAUCUACUUUUUCGUGGGGGAUAACGCAGGGAAACUUACGCUAAUACCGCAUACGACCUACGGGUGAAAGCAGGGGAUCUUCGGACCUUUCGCGAUUGAAUGAGCCGAUGUCGGAUUAGCUAGUUGGCGGGGUAAAGGCCCACCAAGGCGACGAUCCGUAGGUGGUCUGAGAGGAUGAACAGCCACACGGGAAGUGAGAAACAGUCCAGACUCCUACGGGAGGCAGCAGUGGGGAAUAUUGGGCAAGGGGGGCGAGCGUGAUCCAGCGAUACCGGGUGGGUGAAGAAGGAGUUCGGGUGGGAGAGCCAUUUUGUUGGGAGAGAAGAGCAGCAGGUUAAUCCGGCGCGGUUAUGACGGUACCCGGAGAAGAAGCACCGGCUAACUUCGUG
rnacentral:rRNA from 1 species